CUAAAUGAUGAGCCCGACUCAGUAUCCUGGUCUUUGACUAGUAAGGGGAAAUUUACCACUAAGUCUGUAUACGAAUGGUUGGAGAGAAAUCUAUCUGGUCCCAAUUACAAAUGGGUGUGGAAAGCUGCAAUCCCCUUGAAAAUUAAAAUUUUCUUGUGGCAGCUAUUCUAAAAUGUUGUGCUUACACGCGACAACGUGCGCCGAAGGAAUUGGCCGGGGAAUCCUGUGUGUUCUUUCUGCACAAACAUGGAAACUGCUAACCAUCUUUUUUUUACUUGCCCGCUCGCUCGUACGCUCUGGGGUGUGCUGGGAUUGACAGCAGGGGUCUCCUACUGCCCUCGAUCUCUAUGA
rnacentral:rRNA from 1 species